rnacentral:lncRNA from 1 species
AGCCGCAUAUGUGUCCGGCCUCUAUGAAAAAUUCACUCGAAGCUCCGAUCUGAUCGGUCUUCUUGAGAGUGCUAGCUCGCGUGAAGACCUUCUUCUUGCCAGAUUUAGAUCCUUUCUUCAAGUCUUUAGAAUCUUUCUAAAGAUUGUAGAUGGACUUCUAGAGAAGAUGAAGAGCUGAAAAAAAGAUGGAGAGAAAAAUAAUUUUUUCUCAUAUUUUUCUCUCUUCCCAAAUCCAAAGGUAUAAAACCUUAGAAAAUAGAUUUUUGCGCACACACCAAGAAGAAGGACUCUCCUCUUCUUUUUCAUGCCAUGAACUUA